AACGAACGCUGGCGGCGUGCUUAACACAUGCAAGUCGAACGCGAAAGUUUUCUUCGGAAAGCGAGUAGAGUGGCGCACGGGUGAGUAACGCGUAAACAAUCUACCCCUGCAUUUGGGAUAACCCACCGAAAGGUGAGCUAAUACCGGAUACGUUCUUUUGGUCGCGAGACCUUGAGAAGAAAGGUGGCCUCUGAUAUAAGCUACUGUGCAGGGAGGAGUUUGCGUACCAUUAGCUAGUUGGCAGGGUAAUGGCCUACCAAGGCAACGAUGGUUAGCGGGUCUGAGAGGAUGAUCCGCCACACUGGAACUGGAACACGGACCAGACUCCUACGGGAGGCAGCAGUGAGGAAUAUUGCGCAAUGGGGGAAACCCUGACGCAGCGACGCCGCGUGGAUGAUGAAGGCCUUCGGGUCGUAAAAUCCUGUCAGAUGGAAAGAAGUGUAUUAUGCUUAACACGUGUAAUAUU
rnacentral:rRNA from 1 species